AUUGAACGCUGGCGGCAGGCCUAACACAUGCAAGUCGAGCGGUUGACGGGAGCUUGCUCCCUGAUUCAGCGGCGGACGGGUGAGUAAUGCCUAGGAAUCUGCCUAUUAGUGGGGGACAACGUUUCGAAAGGAACGCUAAUACCGCAUACGUCCUACGGGAGAAAGCAGGGGACCUUCGGGCCUUGCGCUAAUAGAUGAGCAUAGGUCGGAUUAGCUUGUUGGUGGGGUAAUGGCUCACCAAGGCGACGAUCCGUAACUGGUCUGAGAGGAUGAUCAGUCACACUGGAACUGAGACACGGUCCAGACUCCUACGGGAGGCAGCAGUGGGGAAUAUUGGACAAUGGGCGAAAGCCUGAUCCAGCCAUGCCGCGUGUGUGAAGAAGGUCUUCGGAUUGUAAAGCACUUUAAGUUGGGAGGAAGGGUUGUAGAUUAAUACUCUGCAAUUUUGACGUUACCGACAGAAUAAGCACCGGCUAACUCUGUGCCAGCCGCCGCAGUAA
rnacentral:rRNA from 1 species